rnacentral:rRNA from 1 species
AUUGAACGCUGGCGGCAGGCCUAACACAUGCAAGUCGAACGGUAACAGGAAGCAGCUUGCUGCUUCGCUGACGAGUGGCGGACGGGUGAGUAAUGUCUGGGAAACUGCCUGAUGGAGGGGGAUAACUACUGGAAACGGUAGCUAAUACCGCAUAACGUCGCAAGACCAAAGAGGGGGACCUUAGGGCCUCUUGCCAUCGGAUGUGCCCAGAUGGGAUUAGCUAGUAGGUGGGGUAACGGCUCACCUAGGCGACGAUCCCUAGCUGGUCUGAGAGGAUGACAAGCCACACUGGAACUGAGACACGGUCCAGACUCCUACGGGAGGCAGCAGUGGGGAAUAUUGCACAAUGGGCGCAAGCAUGAUGCAGCCAUGCCGCGUGUAUGAAGAAGGCCUUCGGGUUGUAAAGUACUUUCAGCGGGGAGGAAGGGAGUAAAGUUAAGACCUUUGCUCAUUGACGUUACCCGCAGAAGAAGCACCGGCUAACUCCGUG